GUUCUGAGUGCUUUGGUGACCAAUUUCUGCAUAGGAUGUAUACCUGGCAUCUCACAGUGCAUUGAAGGCCAAAUUUUAUAAGAAAAGGAGAUACCAGAUCUGAAAGCCUAGAAAUUCCAAUCAAUGUGGUUCUACCUCAGGUGCCAUAUACUGCUCACGCCAUGAUGAGAAGAAGGCUUGUGGAAUAGAAUCCAAGCUGCUUGGGUCACAUUCCUCCUACCAGGUCUGUCUGCUGCUACCCGCUGCCAUGUGCAGUAGUAAUUUAGCCACCUAGGAACCAUUCU